GGGGAAUAUUGCACAAUGGGGGAAACCCUGAUGCAGCAACGCCGCGUGAGCGAUGAAGGCCUUCGGGUUGUAAAGCUCUGUCUUCGCUGACGAUAAUGACGGUAAGCGAGGAGGAAGCCACGGCUAACUACGUGCCAGCAGCCGCGGUAAUACGUAGGUGGCAAGCGUUGUCCGGAAUUACUGGGCGUAAAGGAUGCGUAGGCGGCCUCUUAAGUGGGAUGUGAAAUGCCGGGGCUUAACCCCGGAGGUGCAUUCCAUACUGGGAGGCUAGAGUGCAGGAGAGGAAAGCGGAAUUCCCAGUGUAGCGGUGAAAUGCGUAGAGAUUGGGAGGAACACCAGUGGCGAAGGCGGCUUUCUGGACUGUAACUGACGCUGAGGCAUGAAAGUGUGGGGAGCAAAC
rnacentral:rRNA from 1 species